rnacentral:rRNA from 1 species
GGGCAUAAAACUUCUGUAGGUGGCUUUUUAAGUCUGCCGUAAAAUCCCAGGGCUCAACCCUGGACAAGUGGUGGAAACUACCAAGCUGGAGUAUGGUAGAGGCAAAGAGAAUUUUAGGUGGAACAGUGAAAUGUGUAGAGAUCAAAAAGAACACCAACGGCGAAAGCACUUUGUUGGGCCAACAUUGACAUUGAGAGAUGAAAGCCAGGGAAGCGAAUGGGAUUAGAUACCCCAGUGUCCUAGCCAUAAAUUAUGGAUACUAGGUGUUGUGCGUAUCGACCCGUGCAGUGCUGUAGCUAAUGCGUUAAAUAUCUCGCC